rnacentral:rRNA from 1 species
UAUUGGUCAAUGGGCGGGAGCCUGAACCAGCCAAGUCGCGUGAGGGAGUAAGGCCCUACGGGUCGUAAACCUCUUUUGCCGGGGAGCAGGGCGGCGGACGUGUCCGCCGUUUGAGAGUACCCGGAGAAAAAGCAUCGGUUAACUCCGUGCCAGCAGCCGCGGUAAUACGGAGGAUGCGAGCGUUAUCCGGAUUUAUUGGGUUUAAAGGGUGCGUAGGCGGGCUUUUAAGUCAGCGGUAAAAAUUCGGGGCUCAACCCCGUCCGGCCGUUGAAACUGGGGGCCUUGAGUGCGGCGGAGGCAUGCGGAAUGCGCGGUGUAGCGGUGAAAUGCAUAGAUAUCGCGCAGAACCCCGAUUGCGAAGGCAGCGUGCCGUGCCGCCACUGACGCUGAGGCACGAAAGCGCGGGGAUCGAACAGG